UACGGAGGGUGCAAGCGUUAUCCGGAUUCACUGGGUUUAAAGGGUGCGUAGGCGGGGUUUUAAGUCAGCGGUGAAAGCUCCGAGCUUAACUCGGAAAUUGCCGUUGAUACUAUUAAUCUUGAAUUUAGUUGAGGUGGGCGGAAUGUGUAGUGUAGCGGUGAAAUGCUUAGAUAUUACACAGAACACCUAUUGCGAAGGCAGCUCGCUAAACUAAUAUUGACGCUGAGGCACGAAAGCGUGGGGAUCAAACAGG
rnacentral:rRNA from 1 species